GAUGAACGCUGGCGGCGUGCCUAAUACAUGCAAGUCGAGCGAACGGACGAGAAGCUUGCUUUUCUGAUGUUAGCGGCGGACGGGUGAGUAACACGUGGAUAACCUACCUAUAAGACUGGGAUAACUUCGGGAAACCGGAGCUAAUACCGGCUAAUAUUUUGAACCGCAUGGUUCAAAAGUGAAAGACGGUCUUGCUGUCACUUAUAGAUGGAUCCGCGCUGCAUUAGCUAGUUGGUAAGGUAACGGCUUACCAAGGCAACGAUGCAUAGCCGACCUGAGAGGGUGAUCAGCCACACUGGAACUGAGACACGGUCCAGACUCCUACGGGAGGCAGCAGUAGGGAAUCUUCCGCAAUGGGCGAAAGCCUGACGGAGCAACGCCGCGUGAGUGAUGAAGGUCUUCGGAUCGUAAAACUCUGUUAUUAGGGAAGAACAUAUGUGUAAGUAACUGUGCACAUCUUGACGGUACCUAAUCAGAAAGCAACGGCUAACUACGUG
rnacentral:rRNA from 1 species